GUUCCCUCUUCGAAACCUGAAAAUGCAACUUGGAAAUACUUUUUACGGGUCCUACUACGGCCACCUGCUCCAGUGCUCCUGUGUCAAGCACUGCAGCAAGAAAUAGCCCUUCAUCGUCCGACUCCCAUGACCAGGAGGACUGACAACCACAAGUCCAAAGCAGGUAUCAUAUUUAGGUGUUUAUUAAUUCGGGGCUUAUUUUGUUCCGAUGCUGGAAACUGUAACAAGUAUGUUAGUUUAUUUGGUUCAUUUUAGCUCAGGCAGCAUUUGAUAGAGCCACUCCAGCAACAACCACAGCAGCAGUGAUCCCUGAUGAUCCCGCACAGUGGCCUGAUGUCCUCAGCAAUUGUGAAAAAUGUUCAUUGGUGAUAAAAGGACAUGUUCAG